ncrna:unclassified sequences ssNA-helicase RNA
GUCCAUAAGGGUUAGUAUUACCCUUAUGGAAGCACAUGUAGCAGUAGCA